CCACUUUUCAUUAUGCGAAGGAUCGCUAUAUAUGGGGUGCUGGCUUCGGCUGGCUAUGGCGAUAAACUGCUGCGUGCAAUAGGCACAACGGACCCGGGGGCAGUACCCGGCGGCUCCACCACAAAACCCGGAUUUUCCGGGGCUUAUGACGGGGCCGAACUAGGAUCGACGUGUGUUGAAAGACGUAGUUUUUGCUCGGGCUGAGUAACCCGUUCAAGGCUCAAAACCCACAAGUGCCAAUGACAAUGAAGCACUCGCUCUCGCUGCGUAAUCUGACGGCCUAACGGCCUGAUCUUACAAAGCCUAGAGCACGGUUCGGACCGAACCGGGUAACAGAAUCGGAAACC
rnacentral:tmRNA from 1 species